rnacentral:rRNA from 1 species
UUAAGAUAGUAAGAGCAUACGGUGGAUGCCUUGGCGAUAUCUGCCGAUGAAGGACGCGACAAGCUGCGAAAAGCUGCGGUGAGGUGCAAAUGACCUUUGACCCGCAGAUGUCCGAAUGGAGCAAUCCGGCUGUGGUUAUGCACAGUCACCCAUGCCUGUGAGUAUGGGAGGGAACCAGGCGAACUGAAACAUCUAAGUAGCCUGAGGAGAAGUAAUCAAACGAGAUACCCCCAGUAGCGGCGAGCGAACGGGGCAGAAGCCCAAACCGCAGAAGGAAACUUUUACGGGGUUGAGGGCCGUCAUACGAACGUGGAAUCCAGCUGAAGCUUCUGGGAAGGAGCGCCGCAGGAUGUGAAAGCCAUGUAAGCGAAAGAGGAAGCGGAACAGACGGUACCAGAGUACCGCGGGACACGAGAAACCCCGUGGGAAGCAGGGGGGACCACCCUCCAAGGCAAAACACAGAUAUCGACCGAUAGCGCAUAGUACCAUGAGGGAAAGGUGAAAAGCACCCCGGGAGGGGAAUGAAACAGAACCUGAAACCGUAUGUUUACAAGCAGUCGGAGACCGUAUAUAUAUCAGGUCGACGGCGUGCCUAUUGAAGAAUGAACCGGCGAGUUAUGAGGUCCAGCGAGGUUAAGCAGGAAAUGCGGAGCCGAAGCGAAAGCGAGUCUUAACAGGGCGAGUAGUUGGACUGCAUAGACCCGAAACCACAGUGAUCUACCCAUGUCCAGGUUGAAGCACAGGUAAAAAUGUGUGGAGGACCGAACCUAUAUCCGUUGAAAAGGGUUAGGAUGAGGUGUGGGUAGGGGUGAAAUUCCAAUCGAACGUGGAGAUAGCUGGUUCUCCCCGAAAUAGCUUUAGGGCUAGCCUCAGGGUAAAGAUUGCAGGCGGUAGAGCACUGAUCAGGAGAGGGACCUACCCGGUUACCAAACCCAGUCAAACUACGAAUGGCUGCAAUUAUACCUGGGAGUCAGACUACGACUUAUAAGGGCCGUGGUCAAAAGGGAAACAGCCCAGAUCAUCAGCUAAGGUCCCAAAUGCCGUGCUAAGUGGCGAAGGAUGUGGCGUUUCAUAAACAACCAGGAUGUUGGCUCAGAAGCAGCCACCAUUUAAAGAGUGCGUAAUAGCUCACUGGUCGAGAGACGCUGCGCCGAAAAUGUCCGGGGCUCAAGCACGGAACCGAAGCUAUGGCAUUGCGUAAGCAAUGGGUAGGGGAGCGUUCUUAUGGGGAAGAAGCAUUACCGUAAGGAGAUGUGGACACAUAAGAAGUGAGAAUGCCGGUAUGAGUAUCGAAAAGAAAGGUGAGAAUCCUUUCCACCGAAAGCCCGAGGGUUCCUGAGCAACGAUCGUCGUCUCAGGGUAAGUCGGGACCUAAGCCGAGGCACAGACGCAUAGGCGAUGGACAACAGGUUGAAAUUCCUGUACCGGAUGGAGUCAUUUGAGCAAUGGAGUGACGCAGGAGGGCACAUGAUCGCGCGACUGGAAGAGCGCGUCCAAGUGCGUAUGUUGAAUCGGAGGCAAAUCCCCGAUUCUGAAAGCAGAGACAUGAUGGGGAGUUAUAAGCGAUUAUGACGAACUCAUGGAUCCCACACUGCCAAGAAAAACUUCUAGCGAGACGAAAUCCGCCCGUACCGUAAACCGACACAGGUAGGCGGGGAGAGAAUCCUAAGGUGCGCGGGAAAACCCUCGUUAAGGAACUCGGCAAAUUGCAUCCGUAACUUCGGGAGAAGGAUGGCCCUGAGUAGGCGAAGUGCAGAAACGCACGGAACAGAAAAGGGUGGCAGAAAAGAGGCCCAAGCAACUGUUUACCAAAAACACAGGUGCCUGCGAAAGCGAAAGCUGAAGUAUAGGUGCUGACGCCUGCCCGGUGCUGGAAGGUUAAGGAGAGAGGUUAGCGCAAGCGAAGCUUUGAACUGAAGCCCCAGUGAACGGCGGCCGUAACUAUAACGGUCCUAAGGUAGCGAAAUUCCUUGUCGGGUAAG